rnacentral:tRNA from 1 species
GCCUUGGUGGCUUAGUCAGUUAAGCGUCCGACUUCAGCUCAGUUCAUGAUCUCACGGUUUGUGGGUUUGAACCCCACAUCAGGCU